UACAGAGGGUGCGAGCGUUAAUCGGAAUUACUGGGCGUAAAGCGCGCGUAGGCGGCUUUGCAAGUCGGGUGUGAAAUCCCCAGGCUUAACCUGGGAACUGCAUUCGAGACUGCAUUGCUAGAGUAUGGGAGAGGGAAGUGGAAUUUCCGGUGUAGCGGUGAAAUGCGUAGAUAUCGAGAGGAACACCUGCGGCGAAGGCGGGUUGCUGGGCUGACACUGACGCUGAGGCGCGAAAGCCAGGGGAGCGAACGGG
rnacentral:rRNA from 1 species